rnacentral:rRNA from 1 species
GACGAACGCUGGCGGCGUGCUUAACACAUGCAAGUCGAGCGGUAAGGCCCUUUCGGGGGUACACGAGCGGCGAACGGGUGAGUAACACGUGGGUGACCUGCCCUCAGCUCUGGGAUAAGCCUGGGAAACCGGGUCUAAUACCGGAUAUGACUCCAUGACGCAUGUUGUGGGGUGGAAAGCCUUGUGCGGCUGAGGAUGGGCCCGCGGCCUAUCAGCUUGUUGGUGGGGUGAUGGCCUACCAAGGCGACGACGGGUAGCCGGCCUGAGAGGGCGACCGGCCACACUGGGACUGAGACACGGCCCAGGCUCCUACGGGAGGCAGCAGUGGGGAAUCUUGCGCAAUGGGCGAAAGCCUGACGCAGCGACGCCGCGUGAGGGAUGACGGCCU